rnacentral:lncRNA from 1 species
UUGACUAUUAACUGCGUUGCAUACGUGACGCCAUGUGAUAGAGGGGGUAAUUGAUCAGCAUGCAAGUCACAUGACAAAUUCUAAAAUUUUCAGGGGCGGUAUUUUGUCGGAUUAAAAUAAUAUUAUUUUUGCCCCAAUCCACUAAAUUUUUGUUUUUUUGGAUCUGAUGAAUAUAAUAUGAGGAUGAUUUCUCUCCCGACUCCCCUCAUUUCUUUUCUAUCUCCUGAAUUUCCAUUUUUGCUCUUGGGGUACUUCGGUUUAUACGAACCGAAUUUUUUUGUCAUGCUAAAAAAAAUCGGUUUAUAUAAACCGAAAUAUUGUGUUCCAAUUUUUUUUUCAGCUUUCCUGCAUAAAUUCUGCAUGAGACCCUCAACUUCCACAAUUUAUUUGAAAUACUAAACGAUGUCCGAUUUGAGUAAACGACCACUCGUUGGAAAGCUUAGGGUGUCAAGAAUACAAAUAUAAUUUUUUUUUUAGGGUUAACUAUCCAAUUGGUUCAGUUUGACCAAAUAAUGAGUACUGGUACAGAAACAGGGCAUAAACUUUUCUCAAACUUGUAGGUAGAUUUUCUCAUACUAUACUUAAUGAAAUUUAACAAUUCCGGUGUCAAUCUUGUAGUAAAAUUUGUCUUUUUUACACUGGAUCAAAAAUCAUUAGCAUACGACUUAUAUUCAGAGAGCUAUAAUAAAUUUACCACAGGUAUCUCUACAACAUUUUAUAGAAACUUUGCUUAAACUUGUAGGUAGAUUUUCUCAUAUUAUACUUAAUGAAAUUUAAUAAUUCCGGUGUCAAUCUUGUAGUAAAUUUUGUCUUCUUUACACUGGAUUAAAAAUCAUUAGCAUACGACCUAUAUUCAGAGAGAUGCUAAAUUUACCACAGGUAGCUCUACACGAAUUUUCACAUAAAUUUUCCUUCUUUUUGGGGGGUAUAUGUUAUUUCGGUUUAUAUAAACCGAAUUUUUUUUCCAUGUUUAAAAACUUCGGUUUAUAUAAACCGAAGUUUGUUGGCAAAAAAUUUUCAUACCGCAAGGGGCAAAAUGGAAUUUUGGGGGGUAGAAAAGAAAUGAGGGGGGGUCGGAAGAGAAAACUUCUAAUAUGAGGGGCUUGAAGGCCCACUGUUCAUUUUACGCUCAAAAACACAUUUGAAGAAAAUCAAUCAAUCCAUCCAUCCGCGAAGAUCAACCACCGUCGCCGGUCUAUCGUCCGUCUUCACUGUCG